rnacentral:piRNA from 1 species
UGAUGUUGGCCAGCCCAUCAGGUAGGAUC